rnacentral:rRNA from 1 species
AUACAACUUUCAACAACGGAUCUCUUGGCUCUCGCAUCGAUGAAGAACGCAGCGAAAUGCGAUAAGUAAUGUGAAUUGCAGAAUUCAGUGAAUCAUCGAAUCUUUGAACGCACCUUGCGCCCCUUGGUAUUCCGAGGGGCAUGCCUGUUUGAGU